rnacentral:rRNA from 1 species
AUUGAACGCUGGCGGCAGGCCUAACACCUGCAAGUCGAGCGAGCGGCGGACGGGUGAGUAAUGUGUGGGAAACUGCCCGAUGGAGGGGGAUAACUACUGGAACCGGUAGCUAAUACCGCAUACCAUCAGAUGAGCCCAAAUGUGAAUAGCUAGUAGGUGGGUUAAUGGCUCACCGAGGCGACGAUCCCUAGCUGGUCUGAGAGGAUGACCAGCAAAACGGUAACUGAGACACGGUCCAGACUCCUACGGGAGGAAGCAGGGGGGAAGAUUGCACAAUGGGCGCAAGCCUGAUGCAGCCAUGCCGCGUGUAUGAAGAAGUCCUUCGGGUUGUAAAGUACUUUCAGCGAGGAGGCGUUACUCGCAGAAGAAGCACCGGCUAACUCCGUGCCAGCAGCCGCGGUAAUAC